rnacentral:lncRNA from 1 species
UGGCAUGUUGUGACAUGCUGCAACAUGAUGACAUGUCAUGACAAUGAAAUGUGAUGGCAUGUUGUGGCAUGACGUCAUGACAUGGUGACAUGUUGUGACAUGUGAUAUGACGUGACAUGAAGACACGCUGCGACAUGUCAUGACAUGGCAUGUUAUGACAUAAAGACAUGUCAUGACAUGGUGAUGUGUGACAGAAUGACAUGUCAUGACAUGAGGACACGUCGUGACAAAGACACUGCAACAUGUCAUGACAUGACACAACGCGACACCGCGCCAUACCACGACCCACCGCACUAUACCAUGCCAUGCCAUAUCACGACAUAUCGUGCCCUAUCGCGACAUAUCGUGCUGUAUCACAACAUAUCACGCCAUAUCGCGACGUGUUGUGCCAUAUCGCGACAUAUCAUGCCAUAUCGCGACGUGUUGUGCCAUAUCGCGCCCUAUCGCGACGUGCCGUGCCCUGUCGCGACGCGGGGGGGGUCACUUGAAGAUCUUUCCCUGGUUGAAGGCCUUGCCCACGUGCUGGAAGUCGCCCUCCCAGCUGAAGUACUCCCUGACCAGCGCCCGGCACUCGGCGCUGUCGGGGUCCAGCUUGCGCCACGCGUACGACUCGUAGUCCACCUGCCAGUCCGGGCACAGCUGGGGGGGGCAACGGGGGGCACGGAGUUAAGGGGGGGGCACGGGGGGGGCCAAAAAUGGGG